AUUGAACGCUGGCGGCAGGCCUAACACAUGCAAGUCGAACGAGUGGCGGACGGGUGAGUAAUGUCUGGGAAACUGCCCGAUGGCGGGGGAUAACUCCUGGAAAAGGUAGCUAUUACCGCAUACCAUCGGAUGUGCCCAGAUGGGAUUAGCGAGUAGGUGGGGUAACGGCUCACCUAGGCGACGAUCCCCAGCUGGUCUGAUAGGAUGACCAGACACACUGGAACGGAGACACGGUCCAGAGUCCUACGUGAGGCAGCAGUGGGGAAUAUUGCACAAUGGGCGAAAGCCUGAUGCAGACAUGCCGCGUGUAUGAAGAAGGCCUGCGGGUUGUAAAGUACUUUCAGCGAGGAGGCGUUACUCGCAGAAGAAGCACCGGCUAACUACGUGCCAGCAGCCGCGGUAAUUC
rnacentral:rRNA from 1 species